rnacentral:lncRNA from 1 species
UUUCUCACUUGAACAUAAUGAUUAUUUUGCCAAUAAGUUCCCAACACUUAAUCAUUUCAUUUCCUUUGUAAAAACUUCAGGACAUUAAAUGUCUUUCUUAUCUCUUUGGAAUGCAGUCCAACAUGUCUUUGUCUGAAAGUUAUAGAAUAAUUGGCAAAUAAAGAGACUUGCAUAGCGUAGGCAUGAAAUGUGGUAUGUGUGAGCAAGGAGGUAAGAUGAUUUGGCACUUCUGUGUGGGCUGAGGGCUGAAUUUCACAGCGGCUCUAAAAUGAAGGUAAAAGAGAAGAACUGAGGCCCUAAAGCUAACCAAAGCAAAUUAGUUCAAAGGAAAGGAAAUGACUUUCCAGAUUAAUAGAGAUGAGCUGGCAUGCGCAUGCUGAAAACCCUCAUAUUUUUCAGUGACUCUAUGUCAUUUUCUCAAGGCUGUGGGCAACGGGUGUAUAGCUUAAAGCAUGAUUUCAGACGAACAAAUUUUCUCAAUGAGCUGGCCAGCAUUUCCUGAUGCCAUGGUAUUUUCUCAGAAUUCUGGAUCUGGUUCAUCACUUGUCAAAAAGAGAGAACAUGGCACAGAGGGGUGCCCUGUAGCCCCACAGGGGACCUAGAAAAUUGGCUGACCUGACUUUUAGAACUGGCAGCUUAUUUUUGAUCUCACUCUUUCUGUGUUUGUGCAUAAUUCCUCAGGUCAUUUAUGUAGCACAGAGGACUCUAGCUGGGUUGAAUUAAUUUUGUAUUCUGAAUUUUAUCAGAUUGGUUCAUGUAUGGUCUAUAAUUUUCAGUUAAAUAUUCAUUUUCAGAUGAGACUAGACUCAGACCUCUUGGAGAACAGGGACUGUUUCUCAUUCAGCCUUGUACUCUCAAAACCUAACACAGUACUCUUGCACUUAGUAGGCACUCGGGGUCUUUGAGGAAUGAAUGAAGAGUUGCAAGCUACCAGAAAGAAACAGAUCAGUAAAUUAUGUUUGUCUCACCUGUUCUCAACAUGUGGAUUUAUUUGAAAGUAGAUUAAAAAUAAUAAGAUUAAAUAGAUUAAAAAUAAUUCAGUAAAUAUAAGGACAAAGAAUAACAAUAAAAUAAAAAUCCACUUGUCCACCUAGUGUAAGAAAAAAGUAUUGUAAUUAACUUUGAAGUCUUCAAACUUUUUUUUUUUUCUUCACUGUAUGCCCCACCUCCAGGGGUGAUUAUGGUCCUAAACUUCUAGUUUUCACUCAGUCUGAUGCUUUUACAUUGGAAAUAAGUAUGCCUGGAAGUUCCCGUCAUGGCUUUUUGGAAAUAAGUCUGACUAAGUGUCCAUGCAGACGCAGGUUCAAUCCCUGGCCUCGCUCAGUGUGUUAAGGAUCUGGCAUUGCCCUGAGCUGUGGUGUAGGUGGCAGAUGUGGCUUGAUCCCAUGUUGCUGUGGCUGUGAUGUAGACUGGCAGCUACAGCUCCGAUUCGACUCCUAGCCUGGGAACCUCCAUAUGCCAUGGGUGUGGCCCUAAAAAGACAAACAAACAAACAAAAAGAAGUAGGUGUUUCUGUUGUCAUUAUUAAAACGUUGUUCUUUUUAUUAUAGAAAAGAUAAUAUUAAUUUUGGCUUAAAGCACCAGUAAUCCUUAUUGAUGGGAUAAAUUUCCAUAAGGGGAUGUGAUGUAAAGGUCAAACAGUCUCGUCCACUCAAAAUAUAUUCAGAUCUUAAUAAGAAUUUUCAUAGUCUUUCCUCAAAGGAAUAAAUAAUAUGGGAAGGUCAGGUUCCUAUGUGGAAUGAGAGAAGGAGAGAUUUUUGGCAGGGGGCUGUUUUUAGUGUCCUUGUAUAUCCCCACUGGGUCUCUCACCUGUGCCUGCUGUUGACAGGCCUCUUCAGUGGCUGAGGUCGCGUUGCCGCAGAAAAGCUCAGUCCUGUGUGUGGAGAAACACGGCCACAGUUCCUGUCAUUUAAAUUUCUACUCCUUGUGGAUUCACUGAUUAUAACAGCAUCUUUACCACCUUGUAGAUUUAAAAGGCACGAGCCAUGUUAAAAGCCAGGCUUGAGCAAUCAAAGCUUUUUUCCUCCAGAAGAAGAUGAAAAAAGUGAUUUAUAGUUUGUUUACAGCAAAAAGUUGGUGUGAGGCCACAGGAGAGAAAGGUCUGUCUUCUAAGAACCUGAUUGACUUCUCUGGGGACUUUCUAGAAGAAGGAAGAUUUACUUUUGUUUUUCUUUCCUAUGGGGCUGGAUUUUCUACUUUUUCACAGCUCUUUUUCUCUGAGGAAGCCAAGGUUUUUUGUUUUUCGUUUUUUGUUUUUUUCCUUAUCAAGGGGGAGCAAAGGUACUCUUUGAAAUACCCUCAAAAGUGAACCUGAACCUGUCUGUUUUGUUUGCCAUUGAAUGAACAUGUUUCAAUUUUCCAAUACCUUGAUAUUGGAGAUGGUGUGUCAGUGUUCUGGUAUUAUAUUGACCUCAUUUGUACAUUUGCCUUAUUCACAAAGCCCAUGUAAUACAUCUCUGAACACUUACUAUGUGCUAGCUGUGGGAAGCAAGCAAUGUAUAGAACAGAUGUAGCCUCUGCCUUCAAGCAGUUUCUAGUCUAUUGUGAGAGGCAUACAUUAAUUCCAGUUCAAUAAAUGCCAUGAAAAAAAAAGUGUACUUCAUUUUGCUCAGUGUUAUGGAGAUGAACCUUCUUUCCACCUGCUUCUUCAUUUCGUUGUAGAGGGACAUCGGUUAAUGUGGUGCUCCUGACUUCUUUGACCUGGGCUUAUCUGGCUUAGUCCUUCUCUCCUUUCUGCUUUUGGGAUAAGUCUGUCUGCUCUGAGCCUCUGCCUCCCAGUGGGAGGUGGGGUAAGUUUGGAGCCUUCCAGAUUUCCAGCACUGCUAUGACUGCUCAUGUCUGUCUAAGUCUGCAGUUUAGAUUAAGCGACCCAGUGCUGCUGUGUUCCUCUCUUACCUUCUCCAACCCAGCCUGAUAGUAUUAUGCUAUUAUGCAUAAAUAAAUAGCAUAGAGAUUCUUGUUAUGGCUCAGCAGUAAUGAACCUAGUUGGUAUCCAUGAGGAUGUGGGUUCGAUCCCUGGCCUUGCUCAGUGGGUUAAGGAUCCAGCGUUGCCAUGAGCAGUGGUGUAGGUCGCAGAUGCAGCUCGGAUCCUGCGUUGCUGUGACUGUGGUGUAGGCUGGCAGCUGUUCGACUCCUACCUAGCUGAGAACUUCCAUAUGCCCCAGGUGUGGCCCCCCAAAAACCACAAAAUAUUUAUAUGGCAUAAAUAGUAUUACGUUAAUACUUGGUUCUCCUCUGCUUAGCUCCAUUGUCUAGAAAUUAAUUCAGAAUUUGAGUGGGAGAGAAGAUGCUAUAAUUGGUUUCUUCAAACCUUAAUACUAAGUACCAAACUUGAUGCUUAUACUAGAAUGUCUAUAAUGAUAAAGACUAAUUUCUGGACCAGGGGUUUGAAAGUUCUGCCUCCAGAGAAAGAAGGAUUGGCAUGAGCUGGCAGGGCUGAAUUCCUCCUCUCUUAGCAAUGCCUUCAGUAAGGGCAGAUUUGCAUGGGUCUAUCUUGUAUGUUAAGCUUCCACAGAAAAAUUCUGAGGUUAGAAGGAAUUUAUGAGCUGGUGCCUUAUGCAUACAGCUUUCAAAUACUUUUAGACCACAAUCCACAGUCUGUAUAAUUACAAUUUGAUAUUAUACAUACUCAUAUAUGUGAAAUACAUGUACAAAUGGACCUUAUCAUCUCCAUUCCAUUCCACUCCAUUCCAUUCUAUUCUCCUCCACUCGAAUCCAAUCCAUUCAAUUUCUUUCCAUUUUAUACUGUUAGAAAGAAAAGAUUGGUUAAAAUGUACUAAAUUGAUUCCACCACACUCGUAACAAGAAUUUUGAAAAAUUCUGUAUCAGGUCACAUUCAUUUUACCAGAAGGAUGUACUCUGACCUCUUGUCUGCCAAUGACCUAACCUCCUGAUGGCACCUCUUUUGUCUUGUAUGUUUAAAGCUUCAUAUAUUAUUUGUCUUUUCAAUGCAUAUAAAUUCAGGUUAAACUUACUAUGAAGUUAUGGUCCCUUCUGAGAAAGUAUUUUUUUCACCAUUGUUAUUAUUGCUGAGACUUUUAACGAUACCAAAAUGAUGUAUUCCAUUCCAAAUCUGGCAAACAUUAUUAAAUAUUUCUCUCGGAAUUCAUUAUUACUAUUCGCCUUUUAUUGUUUUGUUUUAUUUAAUGGGGGUAAUUUUCCAUCAAAUCACAGUAGCAAACAAAGCUGACAAAAAUUCUCAAGUUCACAGAAUUUAUUCUUGACUGGAGUGUUUCUUUUACAUAAAAAUCUUCAUAAGAUGCCUAUUUUAGACUGAAUUAUUUAUGAGACCUUAUUCAUCACCACCACCUCUCCAUUCUUGACAAUUUGACAUUUCCAGAAAAUGGCAGUGUGAUGGGGAUGAGGAGGACAGUAUCAUUUUUGUGCUUGAGCUAGUGCCUGGACAGGUCGGGUCUGGGUGAGGGUGAUAAAGGGAGCUGGGUGUCUCAAGGAUGUUGGGUCUAAGAAGAGAGAGGCGUCCAGAGGGAUGUAAAAUGCUCUGAAAGGGAGAUAAGAGGGCACCAGAGCAAACAGGGCCUCCCUGAUGUAGCAUCACACCAGCCCUGUCUUCCAGUCUAUGAAGCUGCCUUCAAGGUUUUAAACAUUGGAAGUCAACCCAUUACUUAACAUUUGUUGCCAUGAUUGUACAUCUUGUUAAGAGAACAUCUGAUGGGAGUCAAGUGGUUUAUUCCCAGAUGAGGGAGGAGGAAUGAGCUUGCCCAGCACAGCAUGGCCUUUCUAGAUGCCAGGCUGAGUCCUCUUUCCUGCCUCCCUCCAGUCACUGCUUGUUUGCUUUAAAUGGGCGGAGAAAUAGGCAAACACAGGUGCUCUCUGCAUUGGCAGCAAGGCCUCUCCUCCAGAUUCAGCCUCUCUCUGGAUGGCACUGGCUGGUAACCACAAGAAUGAAGAUCUAAUCAAGUGAAUUCUGGCCCUCUGCCUACCACUAACUGGUUUUUUUCAGCUUUCCCAUUGUUGAUGAUAAAAUACAGGUAAGCCUUCAGUUGCUUGCCUGCUGCUUCCCAAACCAGCAUUUGCUACAGGCUCUCUGACUUGCCAUUUCGAGGUGUCAUGGAAAGAACACUUGCCCACAAUCAGCACACCUGGCUUCUUGUCCAGGUUUUGCCUCCAAGGUACUGUGCAUGUCUCUUAACUUCCCUGUGCCUUCUUUGAAGUGGAGUUCCUAACACAACCCCUAAUGCUGACUGAGCUUUGCACUGCUUAUCACAGGGAUUUAUCAAGGUAGAAAGCUGAAAAUGCAUACAUAAAAUUCAAGGCUCUAUCUUAAAUUCCUAAAGAGUUAAAGAAUGUCCUGGAGCAGGUAAGGAGUGGAGAGAAGCAGUUAGGCUGCAAGGAUAGAUUUCUGGAAACUGGGGGCGAGAGAAAGAGAGAGAGAUCCUGUCUUAAGAAGUUGACCAGGCCUCAGAAGGGAAGUAUUGGCAAGCAGUGUGGGCACCCUUAGGAGGCUUUAUUUAUAAGACUCCUGUUUCCCAAGUCACCUGAGAUUUCCAGCCUCAGCAAAGAAGCAGCAGAGCCUGGAACAACUGGUGACUCAGCUACACCCAGUGUGGGCUCAAGUCUGACAACCUGAGGUGUUCCCCACCUCAGAGAGAGGUAAGACCUCAGGGCUUUCUACCCUCAUAGGAAGGAGCCCCAAGAAGGCCUAGGGCUUUAUGUCUUAAAGUCCAAUAGGAAUGGGACUUGGAGUCUAAAUUAAACUGAGAAGAAAAAUAGCAAACACAUAAUUUUUUACAUAUCCAUGUGAAGGGACUCUUCAUGCUCUUAUCUGUGUCACUGUAUUUACCAAACAAAAUCUCUCAGAGAACCCUUUAUUUGCAUUCUGUACACAAGGAACUUCUCCAUCAAACACCUUGCAAGGACCCUGGAGCUCCAGGCCAGGCAAGGUUGGCCUCAGUACUCUGUGGGCCAGGACUGGAGCAAAAUGCAAGAUGAGCAGUUCGAGGUUUGGAGUCCUGCCCACGGGUGGGUGAGCAGCCUGGGCAGGCCCAGGCAGGGCUCUGAAGGCCUGUCACUGAGGAAUCACCCCCUGCAGGCAGCGUCGGGGUAACAGUCAGCAGUACUUAAUUAGCCAGGGCUCCUGGCACACCAGCCAAAGCCAUUAGGGACUGAAAGGUUCUCAGAGCUUCCUCAGCCCCAAGUUCGUGUCUACUUUCCUACCUAAGGCCAGCAAACUUCCCUUCUCUAAUAGAGAGACAGGAACCUGGAAGACUUCCGGGCCAACAUUUCACUCCCGCUGUCCGGCUUUCAUGAAAUGGAGACUUUGCCUUGGCUCCUCGACGCUGUUCUCCUUCCGCAUUAUACAGUUUCCAGUCAGUCAUGGAAAGAGGACCAUGCCUAGAAAUA